CGGGGCGGGGGCUGGGAGCCGCCUGCCCACCCCUUGGGUCUGGGGAGGGUCAUGAGUCCUCUGGGCGGCGGAGGAGGGCUGAGCGGCCCUGGGUGACUGCGGACGUGUGGGCGGGUGGGCACUGCUGCAGGCGGGGACUCGGCCCGGGCGUCCGGCUGCUUCUGUCCGCUGGCAGGGGCCCCUGUACCUCACAGUGCGGUUCCCCGAGGCCGGGACACUUGCGGGGGUGCGGGAAGAAACCUCCCCAGAGCCGCAGAGACUUCCCACAUCUCUCCCUGCUCAGUACUGGGCAUCUCCGAAAGGGGUCCUUACUCCCCUCCCUCCCGGGUCUGCUGCCCUCUGUGCACUCAGCAGGGACGGCUUCUCAGGGCGGGGUCCGUGCACGGUGUGGAGGGGGUGUGGGGGGGAUGGCUCCUCACGGCGGGCCCUUCGAGGCAAGGGAGGCGUUCCUGUUGGGAGGAGGGCAGAGGGUCCUGAAGCGUGGAAGGUGCCGUGGGCGGCUGCGCCCACAUUGCGUGGCUUCCUCUGGAACGCCCGCAGCCCUGGCACUGAGUGGGGAGCAGGGCUCCGGUUAGGAGGGUCCUCGGUAAGGGAAGGGUGUGGUGACUGGACAGGGUCAGGGCACCUGGAGCUCAGCUGAGGGCUUGUCGGGUAUUUGCCGGCCGGCCUGCUGGCCCCACUCCCUGCCAUGUACUUGGGGGCGCCUGGGGCCUUUCACAGCAGCAUACUGGAGCCCGGGGCCCUCGUCCGCCCCGCUCGCGGGGGCUUCGGAUCCUGGGGCCCCGGGGAGGGGCUCCAGCUCCUGCCGGCCGUCCUUACGGCCCCUCGCUCCCAUGUCCCUUGUCCCUGCCACGGCCUCCUUCCUGUCUUCUUCUCACGCGCUCCUCCCACCGCGGGUGAUGGCAGACUCCCCGGGUUAAACUGUAGGAACCCUCCUUGACCUGGUUUCGGGUAACAAGAAUUUUCGUCAGGGUCCUGGGACGGCUGAGCCGGGGAUUCCCACCGGGCUGGAUGGCAGAGCAGGACCCAGAAGGUGGGGCGUGGGGAUGUGUUUGCAGGUGCUGGAAGCAAGGGGUGGGGGGAGCUGGGAGGUCACCUAGGACGGCGCAUCCAGGCUGGAGGGGGAGUAAGGAGACCCCGCGUCGCAGCCGAGGACUCCUCGGGAAGGACGCAGCUCCUCCCUGCAGCUGCCGAGGCCGCGAGCGGGGGGGCCGGCCCGAGGUGCCGAAGAACCGACCCUUCUAACGCCACUGACGGUUUUUACCGCGUCCGCGUCCAUCGCGUGUGAGCAGCAUUCGCUCUGCGGCGGACGUGCUGUCUGCAGGGCACGCGGCGCUCUCCGCUGACCGACGCUCCCCCGCCUGCCGUUGGAGGAGAGAGCGGCCCUUCCCGCUGGCAUGGUGGGCCGUGAGUGGGCCGAGGCCUCCCGUGUCUGCUGGCCCGGGGCCACGAACAGAAGUUGGUGCCCCAGGGUCCUUCCCGGUCGCGUCUGCUGAUGCUGUGGCUGGAGGGAGAAGAGCCAGAACGCCCGGAGGUGGAGACGGCGUCCCCCGGACAGCCGGUGCGCGGGCAGCCUGCCCACACCGUGUGGCGCUGACGGCGGCCCCGGAUUGCUGCCCGCGACCGGCGUCUCCCAGAGCGACGGCGGCAGCAGCAUAAACAGAGCUCCAAGACCUGGGCGAGCAGACAGUCCAGGGAGAAGAGAACGGGCACAAAAGACCAGGCAUGAUGACGACUCCCUCGGGGGGUGAGGUGAGAGCAGGGCGUGUUGCCGGGAAGUAGCCUCAUUCAGGGAGUACAGCUGAGCUUCUCGGGGUCAGAGAAGCGACGACAGAUGGCAGCGAGAAUGGAAGAGAAGGUCGAGGAAUGUCCCAGAAAAUAGAGCAAAAAUGCGAACCUGGAAAACGGGAGACAGAGGGGGAAGGGGUGGCAGGCCAGGCCAUGAGGCCUCGUUCAAGUAACAGAUGCCCCGGAGCUGCGGCUUCCAGAAGGAAGGGACCUCCCGGCGUCCACACCAAGACACUUUGGUGGGGAAAGUGGUCCGAGAGGACACAGAGGAAUGGGACGGCCUUCUCCCCCGCCGGCACCUUGCCCACGGCUGUCUGAGUGGCGCGGCCCUGUCGGGCGUGGCCGGGGGAGACCCGGGGUGCCGGCAGGAGGUAGAGGUUGGCCGGUGACCCCUGCCCGGAGAAGCCGAAGGCCCCGAGGGAAACGAAGCUGGUAUGAGGUGAGCCGGCCGCCCCGGCGUUGUUAGCAGGGGGAAGACCAGCCGUGCGCGCUUCUGGAGGAGAGGGGCCAGUAUGCGAGAACUGCCCUUCUACCCCACGUGUGUGUGCAUAACGGAUUAAAAAGUAAAACCUGGCAACAACCUGGGGGGCUCGCUUCCUGCUUCCGGCCACUCCGGCAACAGAGUGGCCUGUUUUCCUGAAACGCCUCGCUACGAGGUGCUGAGAGACGCAGGUCCGUGAGCGGCCUCCUGACUACAGAGCUCAAGGAGGCCAGAGCGUCGGGCGGACAGGGAGGAAGAGGGCCGGGGCUGCGUCCCUCCUCCAAGCAACAGGGGCCGUGCGGCAGGUGGGGACGCGAGGCCUCCUCGUGCUCUGGUGGGGCCGGAGUCUGCCUGGGCUGGAGCCUCCAAGAGCCCCUCCUAAGCAGAAGGGCGGCCGGUGGCACAGGAGUGCUCCCUCCGGGAGGCAAUUUUCUUCUAAAAGUUGUUGGGGCGCCUGGGUGGCUCAGUCGGCUGAGUGUCCGACUGUGAUUUUGGCUCAGGUGCCGAUCCCCGGGUCAUGGGAUCGAGCCCCACAUCUGACUCCGCAGCGAGUGUGGGGCCUGCCUGGGAUUCUCUCUCCCGGUCUCUCUCUGCCCCUCCCCUGCUCGCACGAGCACUUGUACACAUGUGAACUCUCUCUUCCUCAGAAAAUUUUUUCUUUAGCUUCUGUGUCUUGGGAACUUGUGGCUGUGAUUGCUGUCACAUACACACAGGGAUCAGGCUUGUUCUCUCUGUCGGACUGGGGAGCCCCGGCUGAGAAGUUAGCUGUCCCUUGCUGACCACUCGUAGGUCUUCAUCUGUGCGCAGACUUGCCCACCUGGAUGUCCCCAAGCACAGCCACUUUCGUAGACACCACUGUCUCGGCCCGCCCUGCCUCAGCCCGACACUCUGCACCUUCAGUGCCCUCCCACGCCCCCUGCACCCGGGACUUCUGGGCACAGCGACCCUUGCAAACUGUGCGUUAUUUGUGUCUGUCUGUGAGGGGUGAGGUGGGCACAGCACCUCCUCUUUUUGCCUCGCGGUGGGCGCUGUGAACCGAGGCCGUUUGGGGACGUCGGUGUCUGUGCCAGUUCUGUAUGGCUGCUGUCACACAGUGCCACUUAGAAAUGCAGGGCGCCUGGCCAGCUUGGUCGGUGGAGCGAGUGACUCUCGAUCUCAGGGUUGUAAGUUCGAGCCCCACGUUGGACGUAGAGAUUACUUAAAAAUAAAAUCUUU